GGUUAAGCGACUAAGCGUACACGGUGGAUGCCCUGGCAGUCAGAGGCGAUGAAGGACGUGCUAAUCUGCGAAAAGCGCCGGCGAGGUGAUAUGAACCUUUGACCCGGCGAUGUCCGAAUGGGGAAACCCAGUGCAAUUCGUUGCACUAUCGUUAACUGAAUACAUAGGUUAACGAGGCGAACCGGGGGAACUGAAACAUCUAAGUACCCCGAGGAAAAGAAAUCAACCGAGAUUCCCCCAGUAGCGGCGAGCGAACGGGGAGCAGCCCAGAGUCUGAAUCAGCUUGUGUGUUAGUGGAAGCGUCUGGAAAGUCGCACGGUACAGGGUGACAGUCCCGUACACGAAAAUGCACAGGUUGUGAACUCGAAGAGUAGGGCGGGACACGUGGUAUCCUGUCUGAAUAUGGGGGGACCAUCCUCCAAGGCUAAAUACUCCUGACUGACCGAUAGUGAACCAGUACCGUGAGGGAAAGGCGAAAAGAACCCCGGCGAGGGGAGUGAAAAAGAACCUGAAACCGUGUACGUACAAGCAGUGGGAGCACCUUCGUGGUGUGACUGCGUACCUUUUGUAUAAUGGGUCAGCGACUUAUAUUCUGUAGCAAGGUUAACCGUAUAGGGGAGCCGAAGGGAAACCGAGUCUUAACUGGGCGUUAAGUUGCAGGGUAUAGACCCGAAACCCGGUGAUCUAGCCAUGGGCAGGUUGAAGGUUGGGUAACACUAACUGGAGGACCGAACCGACUAAUGUUGAAAAAUUAGCGGAUGACUUGUGGCUGGGGGUGAAAGGCCAAUCAAACCGGGAGAUAGCUGGUUCUCCCCGAAAGCUAUUUAGGUAGCGCCUCGUGAACUCAUCUUCGGGGGUAGAGCACUGUUUCGGCUAGGGGGCCAUCCCGGCUUACCAACCCGAUGCAAACUACGAAUACCGAAGAAUGUUAUCACGGGAGACACACGGCGGGUGCUAACGUCCGUCGUGAAGAGGGAAACAACCCAGACCGCCAGCUAAGGUCCCAAAGUCAUGGUUAAGUGGGAAACGAUGUGGGAAGGCACAGACAGCCAGGAUGUUGGCUUAGAAGCAGCCAUCAUUUAAAGAAAGCGUAAUAGCUCACUGGUCGAGUCGGCCUGCGCGGAAGAUGUAACGGGGCUAAACCAUGCACCGAAGCUGCGGCAGCGACACUAUGUGUUGUUGGGUAGGGGAGCGUUCUGUAAGCCGUUGAAGGUGGCCUGUGAGGGUUGCUGGAGGUAUCAGAAGUGCGAAUGCUGACAUAAGUAACGAUAAAGCGGGUGAAAAGCCCGCUCGCCGGAAGACCAAGGGUUCCUGUCCAACGUUAAUCGGGGCAGGGUGAGUCGACCCCUAAGGCGAGGCCGAAAGGCGUAGUCGAUGGGAAACAGGUUAAUAUUCCUGUACUUGGUGUUACUGCGAAGGGGGGACGGAGAAGGCUAUGUUAGCCGGGCGACGGUUGUCCCGGUUUAAGCAUGUAGGCGGAACGAUUAGGUAAAUCCGGUCGUUUUUUAACGCUGAGGUGUGAUGACGAGGCACUACGGUGCUGAAGUAACAAAUGCCCUGCUUCCAGGAAAAGCCUCUAAGCAUCAGGUAACAUCAAAUCGUACCCCAAACCGACACAGGUGGUCAGGUAGAGAAUACCAAGGCGCUUGAGAGAACUCGGGUGAAGGAACUAGGCAAAAUGGUGCCGUAACUUCGGGAGAAGGCACGCUGAUAUGUAGGUGAAGCCCCUGCGGGUGGAGCUGAAAUCAGUCGAAGAUACCAGCUGGCUGCAACUGUUUAUUAAAAACACAGCACUGUGCAAACACGAAAGUGGACGUAUACGGUGUGACGCCUGCCCGGUGCCGGAAGGUUAAUUGAUGGGGUUAGCGGCAACGCGAAGCUCUUGAUCGAAGCCCCGGUAAACGGCGGCCGUAACUAUAACGGUCCUAAGGUAGCGAAAUUCCUUGUCGGGUAAGUUCCGACCUGCACGAAUGGCGUAAUGAUGGCCAGGCUGUCUCCACCCGAGACUCAGUGAAAUUGAACUCGCUGUGAAGAUGCAGUGUACCCGCGGCAAGACGGAAAGACCCCGUGAACCUUUACUAUAGCUUGACACUGAACACUGGUCCUUGAUGUGUAGGAUAGGUGGGAGGCUUUGAAGUGUGGACGCCAGUCUGCAUGGAGCCGUCCUUGAAAUACCACCCUUUAAUGGCUGGUGUUCUAACGUAGACCCGUGAUCCGGGUUGCGGACAGUGUCUGGUGGGUAGUUUGACUGGGGCGGUCUCCUCCCAAAGAGUAACGGAGGAGCACGAAGGUUAGCUAAUCCUGGUCGGACAUCAGGAGGUUAGUGCAAUGGCAUAAGCUAGCUUGACUGCGAGAGUGACGGCUCGAGCAGGUGCGAAAGCAGGUCAUAGUGAUCCGGUGGUUCUGAAUGGAAGGGCCAUCGCUCAACGGAUAAAAGGUACUCCGGGGAUAACAGGCUGAUACCGCCCAAGAGUUCAUAUCGACGGCGGUGUUUGGCACCUCGAUGUCGGCUCAUCACAUCCUGGGGCUGAAGUAGGUCCCAAGGGUAUGGCUGUUCGCCAUUUAAAGUGGUACGCGAGCUGGGUUUAGAACGUCGUGAGACAGUUCGGUCCCUAUCUGCCGUGGGCGCUGGAGAAUUGAGGGGGGCUGCUCCUAGUACGAGAGGACCGGAGUGGACGCAUCACUGGUGUUCGGGUUGUCAUGCCAAUGGCACUGCCCGGUAGCUAAAUGCGGAAAAGAUAAGUGCUGAAAGCAUCUAAGCACGAAACUUGCCCCGAGAUGAGUUCUCCCUGAGACUUUAAGUCUCCUGAAGGAACGUUGAAGACGACGACGUUGAUAGGUCGGGUGUGUAAGCGCAGCGAUGCGUUGAGCUAACCGAUACUAAUGAACCGUGAGGCUUAACCUU
rnacentral:rRNA from 1 species